UAUACAUUUCCUCUCGAGUAAUAAAACCAUCAUUAUCAACAUCAUACAGUUUAAAAGCCCCUGCAAAAUUAAGUUACCAUAAUGUCUAUUCAAUGGCGGUGGUUACUGGUUUUUUAUCAUGUUUUUUUGCUUUACUAGUUUCUCUUCAAGAUUACCACGAGAUGUCACAGAAAGUGCUUUGAUAAACUCUUCAAAUUCAAUUGAUCCAUCCUGGGAAUUGGUGUUCAUAAUGACAAAAAAAGGAAACGUGAAAAAAACAAGAGUUAACGAAAAUGGAUAAUCAGGAAACAAAAUCUUCUUCAACAUUGUGUUUUACGAGAAAAUUCAGUGAAUAUUAUGAAUUAUUAUGAAAGCUGGAGAUGAAGUCGAUGUUAAAGGUGGUGAAUGUCUGCUGAUGACUUGUUAUAAUCAUGAGGGAAGAUAGACUUGUCAUCUUUUUACCUUUCAACUUGAACUGAAUCAACUUAUUCACUAAUGGACCUGAUGAAACUGCCUUUGUUGAUACUCAUUCCCUGAUGGAUUUCAAUUUAAUUGACCUGUAAACUGGUUGUAUUUUUUGAAGUAACAAUCAUAAUAAUGACGCUGAUUUAGGUCUAAAGUAGAGUCGGGGUCAAUUGUUCAUUUAUAAUGAAUGUGUGAUAAAAAAGUCUAGGAACUAAAAAUUGUUGAUCAGCAAUUAAAAAAAUAUCGAAAUUAAUUUAUUCUGUUAAUGUGUUUUUAUGCACUUCCAUUGACGAUUAAUUGAUUACUUUGAUUUUUUA